rnacentral:tRNA from 1 species
UUAAUUAAAGCCAAAUGAGAGGCAUAUCACUGUUAAUGAUAUCAUUGAAUAAUUAUUCUAAUUAAA